CUGAAUAGUCAUGAACGAGCCUGUUGACAUAAACUUGGCAUAAGUUGUCAUUUUUCAGCCGCAGGAAGCUCUUGCGAAAAAGGGGUAUUCGGCUUCCUAUUUGGACGGGAAAGAGGCAUAUUUUGGUGACCCACACAAACGGUGAGAAGAGGUACAUGUAUAGAGAGAAAGGGGCACAGCAGCUGAAAGGAGAGGGAAGUCCAGACACUCUACCACGGUCUGCCAUUGAAUAAGAAGUCUCUCUUUGGAUCAGGGGGUCAAGCUCCUAGUAUGAAGAUUGUUCAAGAGUCAAGACUGUUGAAGAAGUGACGUCAUGGACCUGGUAGCACCUGGCAAGGGAACUAUAUUACUGUUCAUAAAUCUAUUACUCAAGUAUCCUAAAAACGCUUUAAAAAUUUGAACAUUAACAAAAGUACUAAUUUUCAUUUUUCAAAGAUAAUAAUCAUUAUAUUGACAUUGUGAAUAUAUUUUAUGAUUAUCAUAAAAUUAUUAUAGUGUAAAUGAUGAUAGGUCAUACUAAUACAAAUAAACAAUAAGUAGAAAAGAAGACAAACAAGAAGGAGGAGGAGAAGAAGAAAAAGAAGAGGGGG